UAGGGAAUCUUCCACAAUGGACGCAAGUCUGAUGGAGCAACGCCGCGUGAGUGAAGAAGGUUUUCGGAUCGUAAAGCUCUGUUGUUGGUGAAGAAGGAUAGAGGCAGUAACUGGUCUUUAUUUGACGGUAAUCAACCAGAAAGUCACGGCUAACUACGUGCCAGCAGCCGCGGUAAUACGUAGGUGGCAAGCGUUGUCCGGAUUUAUUGGGCGUAAAGCGAGCGCAGGCGGAAUGAUAAGUCUGAUGUGAAAGCCCACGGCUCAACCGUGGAACUGCAUCGGAAACUGUCAUUCUUGAGUGCAGAAGAGGAGAGUGGAACUCCAUGUGUAGCGGUGGAAUGCGUAGAUAUAUGGAAGAACACCAGUGGCGAAGGCGGCUCUCUGGUCUGCAACUGACGCUGAGGCUCGAAAGCAUGGGUAGCGAACAGGAUUAGAUACCCUGGUAGUCCAUGCCGUAAACGAUGAGCGCUAGGUGUUGGGGC
rnacentral:rRNA from 1 species